rnacentral:rRNA from 1 species
GACGAACGCUGGCGGCGUGCUUAACACAUGCAAGUCGAGCGGUAAGGCCCUUUCGGGGGUACACGAGCGGCGAACGGGUGAGUAACACGUGGGUGACCUGCCCUCAGCUCUGGGAUAAGCCUGGGAAACCGGGUCUAAUACCGGAUAUGACUCCAUGACGCAUGUUGUGGGGUGGAAAGCCUUGUGCGGCUGAGGAUGGGCCCGCGGCCUAUCAGCUUGUUGGUGGGGUGAUGGCCUACCAAGGCGACGACGGGUAGCCGGCCUGAGAGGGCGACCGGCCACACUGGGACUGAGACACGGCCCAGACUCCUACGGGAGGCAGCAGUGGGGAAUCUUGCGCAAUGGGCGAAAGCCUGACGCAGCGACGCCGCGUGAGGGAUGACGGCU